rnacentral:sRNA from 1 species
UGACUGGGCGUCCAUCGGUGUCGCCGAGGC